rnacentral:tRNA from 1 species
ACUAAAUUGGCAGAAUUAAAGUGCAUUAAACUUAGAAUUUAAGCAUAUGUAAGUAGUUUACAUAUUUAGUA